CAUCAACUUCCCCUCUCUUUAUCUAUCUUUUUCUCCACAUUAUUCACACACCCACACUUCAAAUUCAGAUCACCUUCUCAAAUUCUUUGGAUUCUACCAAAUUGUUCUUGUGCUCAAUUGUCAACCAACGCAAGGUACAAAGGCAUCCCAAAGGAAUUCCCGCGAUAGGGGAUAACUCAUGAACUUCAAAGAACGUCAAGCUAAAGAUGAAAAAUAAGCGCUUGUUGGGAGGCAACCCAACCAUUUAUUUUCAGGUUUUGCAGUAUUUUUGUGUUUUAAAUUCGUUUUGUGUUGAUUGAAAUUUUCGCAGCUUCUGGACCAUUCCCAGCGACCGCUGUGGCACGCGCAGCGGCCCGCUGGCGACUCACUGGACAAGUUUUGACACUCCACAGCGACCGCUGGAGGGCCCCCAGCGCCCGCCGCCCAAUUGCAAUUUCCAGAAUGAUUUUUCGAAUUUUUCAAAUUUUCACCCCGUCCAGCAACUACGCGAAAUAUUUUAUGGUGUGUGAAGAUUUUUGCCAGGUCCGGGAAAGGAGGAGGACAGUUGCGUGGAGCUAGGAAAUAGGCGAAUGAGUGGACAUUAUGCGGAAAAUUGCUUGACGGAGGAAGCCUCGGAAUUGAAGGGUA